CCUACGGGAGGCAGCAGUGAGGAAUAUUGGUCAAUGGACGAGAGUCUGAACCAGCCAAGUAGCGUGAAGGAUGACUGCCCUAUGGGUUGUAAACUUCUUUUAUAAAGGAAUAAAACGAGGCACGUGUGCCUUUUUGCAUGUACUUUAUGAAUAAGGAUCGGCUAACUCCGUGCCAGCAGCCGCGGUAAUACGGAGGAUCCGAGCGUUAUCCGGAUUUAUUGGGUUUAAAGGGAGCGUAGAUGGGUUGUUAAGUCAGUUGUGAAAGUUUGCGGCUCAACCGUAAAAUUGCAAUUGAUACUGGCAGUCUAGAGUACAGUUGAGGUAGGCGGAAUGCGUGGUGUAGCGGUGAAAUGCUUAGAUAUCACGAAGAACCCCGAUUGCGAAGGCAGCUUACUAAACUGUGACUGACAUUGAUGCUCGAAAGUGUGGGUAUCAAACAGGAUUAGAUACCCUAGUAGUC
rnacentral:rRNA from 1 species